AAAAAAAAAAAAGGUUAAUUGCAUUCAGGUCCCCUCAAACAUGAUAAAUUACAGAUAUAUUCCUAUCCGUUUGGUUCGGAGUUAAGGAAAAACUAGUUAUUCCAGAGAUAGGGUUAAGUUCAGAGUUAAGGUGGGGUUAAAAUUUUUUUGUGUUUGGUUGGGGGGUUAGAGUUAGUCCAGGAUAGUGAAAAAUAAUAUUUGGUUGGAGUAGGUGGGAUAAGAAGAAUAGUGAUUGAUAAAGAAGAAUAGUGAUUGAUAAAGAAAGGAAAAGGACUAAAAUACCCUCACUGUAAUCAUUUGAAAUAAAUGUUUUUUUUUAUUUUAAAAUUUUUUGAUUGCAAUUAUCUUUGAUUGCAAUUAUUUUUGAUGGUUCGGGCGGCGGUGAAGGGGUACGGCCGGAAGGGAAGGGCUUCGGGCGGAGGUGAAGCCCGAGGGAGGGGUUCGGCCGGCGGUGAGGGGCUAAGGCCGGAGGUGAAGGGCUUCGGGCGGAGGUGAAGCCGGAGGUGGAGGGGUUCGACUGGCGGUGAGGGGCUAAGGCCGGAGGUGAAGGGCUUCGGUCGGAGGUGAAGCCGGAGGUGAAGCCGGAGGUGGAAGGGUUCGGGCGGCGGUGAAGGGCAUCGGGCGGCGCUGACGCCAGUGUAGAAGGGCUUGGUCCUGACAUGACGGCUUUGGGCCGAGGUGAAGCCGGAGGUGAAGGGCUUCGGCCGGAGUGGAGAGGCUUCGAGAGGAGGCAGAGCCGGAGGUGAAGGGCUUCGGGGUGAGAACGGGGAGGAAGGGGAAGGAUCUACAGUGAAGGGGCUUCUGGAAGAGAGGAGACAGAGCAACGCAGGGGAGAAAGGGGAAAAGGGAGUGCUUCGGGGGGAGUGCGGGGCUAAAGCGGGAGGUAGUU
rnacentral:lncRNA from 1 species